GGUUUCAUGAUGUAGUUGGUUAUCACAUUUGUCUAACAGUUUACAAAACUGGACACAAAAGGUCCCCAGAUCGAGCCUGGGUGAAAUCA